AAGAACUUUUGGAAGACUUACCAGAAGUAUUAGCUACCKGUAAAGAAGUUGCGAAAGAGGUUAUGUCUAAAAUGACUGAGGGCUUGGAAAAGCUUUGUGACAAUGCUCGCAAAAAGUUAAUAGUAGAAAAUAUUCCAUCGACUUYGAAAAAUGCUUUGGAUAAGAGGGUAACAGUUUUGGGGAAAAAACAAGAAAGUUGCGAAAAGAGGGUCAAAACUGUGGAACAAAAAGUUAAAGAUAUUACAUCAAGCACAGACAAGGAGCCAGUAGAGUAUUUUGGGAUUCUUUUUACUGAUCGUUAUUUCGAUGACCUCCCAGAGGAUAUUUUCUACUCUAUGAUACGGUACUUCGACGAUAAAGACAUACAAUGGAUUGGAGAGGGACCGUGGAAACCAGAGAAAUUUCUUCGUAAAUUUCCAAAAGAAGGUUACGAAAGAAAAGAUUGUCUACAAUAUCUAUUUGAAGUUUUGGGUGAAAAUUUUCCAGCAGUUGUAUAAACUAUUAGGAUUGCUAACGGUUGGUAAAGAGUUAGUGACUACGCCUCUCAAGGAUAACCAAGAGCUCAAAGAAAAAACCAUAGAAAUUGUAAGUAGAAACCCGGAUUGCUGCUGGGAGACUUUGGCUGGUCAUUUACAAGUCGAUGAAACGAUAUUGAAGAAAUGUAGGGAAGAUUACUCGGGAGAUACACAUGAARUAACAAGCCAGAURCUCAGAGAAUGGAUCGAAACAUCAGAUAAGAACUGUACAUUAGAGAUCAUAUUUGAUGCUUUAMGGUUGUGUGAGUAUAAAGAAACAGGGAUAGAACUAGCCACCUAUACGACGGAAAUAUGCAGAAUACAAUUGCACAGCUAACAGGGAUUGGUAGAAUACGAAAAUGAGUUGUUUUGUUGUUCGACAUCUUGGAACAAGAUCUAGAGACGACCUCGGAGCGACUAAAACUCAAGAACCUUGCAGAUUAGAACUCCUGGGCGGUAGGAAURAAAGGUGUAGGCUAAACCAGCUCUGCAUAAGCCAACGACAUCCAAGAACUGAUAAACAAGGCUGAAGAUUAAAGUUUUCUUAGUUAACUACGUACGCUUAUUAUUUUUUAUGAUCAAUUAUCUGUAAUCUAUUGACCUCUUAUAAUAAAUUAUAUUUUGCUAUAUGA